rnacentral:rRNA from 1 species
UGGUGGGUAGUUUGACUGGGGCGGUCUCCUCCUAAAGAGUAACGGAGGAGCACGAAGGUUGGCUAAUCCUGGUCGGACAUCAGGAGGUUAGUGCAAUGGCAUAAGCCAGCUUGACUGCGAGCGUGACGGCGCGAGCAGGUGCGAAAGCAGGUCAUAGUGAUCCGGUGGUUCUGAAUGGAAGGGCCAUCGCUCAACGGAUAAAAGGUACUCCGGGGAUAACAGGCUGAUACCGCCCAAGAGUUCAUAUCGACGGCGGUGUUUGGCACCUCGAUGUCGGCUCAUCACAUCCUGGGGCUGAAGUAGGUCCCAAGGGUAUGGCUGUUCGCCAUUUAAAGUGGUACGCGAGCUGGGUUUAGAACGUCGUGAGACAGUUCGGUCCCUAUCUGCCGUGGGCGCUGGAGAACUGAGGGGGGCUGCUCCUAGUACGAGAGGACCGGAGUGGACGCAUCACUGGUGUUCGGGUUGUCAUGCCAAUGGCACUGCCCGGUAGCUAAAUGCGGAAGAGAUAAGUGCUGAAAGCAUCUAAGCACGAAACUUGCCCCGAGAUGAGUUCUCCCUGACUCCUUGAGAGUCCUGAAGGAACGUUGAAGACGACGACGUUGAUAGGCCGGGUGUGUAAGCGCAGCGAUGCGUUGAGCUAA